CCUGCGGAGGAUCAUUAUUGAUUGUGAAUUGUUGUCUUCAGUGCUGGCCCCCGGCAAGUGCACGUUGGUGACUUUCAUCCAAUACACCUGUGAACUUCUGACCUCUUGCUAGCUUCGGCUGGCAGAGGAUUUUUACACACACUCGAAUGUAAUGAAACCUAUUGUUGUGCGCAAGCACUAAUGUACAACUUUCAACAACGGAUCUCUUGGCUCUCGCAUCGAUGAAGAACGCAGCGAAAUGCGAUAAGUAAUGUGAAUUGCAGAAUUCAGUGAAUCAUCGAAUCUUUGAACGCACCUUGCACCCUUUGGCAUUCCGAAGGGUAUGCUCGUUUGAGUGUCAUUGUACUCUCACACUCUCCAAUCCUCUGGAUUGGGGAGUGGUGGACUUGGGCGUCUGCUGCUUGACUGUGGCUCGCUUUAAAUGGAUUAGUGCAACUCUUGGUUGGACAUAGUACGGCGUGAUAAGUGUCUUCGCCGGCACCUCGGAAGAGGGUGACUGAUUGAGAGCUCUGUGCUUCAAACUGUCUUCGGACAAUCUCUGACAACUUGACCUCAAAUCGAGUAGGACUACCCGCUGAACUUAAGCAUAUCAAA
rnacentral:sRNA from 1 species